UACAGAGGAUGCAAGCGUUAUCCGGAAUGAUUGGGCGUAAAGCGUCUGUAGGUGGCUUUUUAAGUCCGCCGUCAAAUCCCAGGGCUCAACUCUGGACAGGCGGUGGAAACUACCAAGCUGGAGUACGGUAGGGGCAGAGGGAAUUUCCGGUGGAGCGGUGAAAUGCGUUGAUAUCGAUAGGAACUCCGGUGGCGAAGGCGGCAUACUGGACCACAUCUGACGCUGAGGCGCGAAAGCCAGGGGAGCGAACGGG
rnacentral:rRNA from 1 species